rnacentral:rRNA from 1 species
AACGAACGCUGGCGGCAUGCCUAAUACAUGCAAGUCGAACGGGGAAAGGCCUUCGGGCCCGGUACUAGUGGCGCACGGGUGAGUAACGCGUGGAUAAUCUACCCUUUGGUGGGGGACAACAUCGGGAAACCGGUGCUAAUACCGCAUAAGACCACGAAGCCUUCGGGUUUUGAGGUUAAAGGUGGCUCCGGCCAUCGCCAAAGGAUGAGUCCGCGUCCCAUUAGCUUGUUGGUGGGGUAAAAGCCUACCAAGGCUACGAUGGGUAGCUGGUCUGAGAGGAUGAUCAGCCACACUGGAACUGAGACACGGUCCAG